UCAAGCUACAAAGGGCGCAUGGUGAAUGCCUUGGCAUCAGGAGCCGAUGAAGGACGUGAUAAGCUGCGAUAAGCUUCGGGUAGGCGCACAUAGCCAGUGAUCCGGAGAUUUCCGAAUGUGGGAACACACAUGGGAAACCCCAUGUAUCGUAUAGUGAAUACAUAGCUAUACGAGGGUAAACCUAGGGAACUGAAACAUCUAAGUACCUAGAGGAAGAGAAAGAAAAAUCGAUUUCCUUAGUAGCGGCGAGCGAAAGGGAAAGAGCCCAAACCAAAGAUUUAUCUUUGGGGUUGCGGACAGAGCAUUAACGAGAAGUCGUAACUAACCGAACAUAACUGGAAAGUUAGACCGUAGGAGGUAAUAGUCCUGUAGGUGAAAGUUAAGAUAAUCAAGCUCUGAUCCAGAGUACCACGAGACACGUGAAACCUUGUGGGAAGCAGGGAGGACCACCUCCCAAGGCUAAAUACUACCUGAUGACCGAUAGUGAAGCAGUACCGUGAGGGAAAGGUGAAAAGAACCCCGGGAGGGGAGUGAAAUAGAACCUGAAACCGUGUGCCUACAACCGGUCAAAGCCCCUUAUGAGGGUGAUGACGUGCUUUUUGUAGAACGAGCCAACGAGUUACGGUAUGUAGCAAGGUUAAGUACUUAAGGUACGGAGCCGAAGGGAAACCGAGUCUUAAUAGGGCGACUAGUUGCAUGCCGUAGACCCGAAACCGGGUGACCUAUCCAUGGCCAGGUUGAAGCGAGGGUAAAACUUCGUGGAGGACCGAACCACGUUGCUGUUGAAAAAGCAUGGGAUGAGCUGUGGAUAGCGGAGAAAUUCCAAUCGAACUCGGAGAUAGCUGGUUCUCCUCGAAAUAGUUUUAGGACUAGCCUUGUUUAGUAGUACGUGGGGGUAGAGCACUGAAGGAGCUAGGGGCCAAACCAGGUUACCGAACUCUAUCAAACUCCGAAUACCAUGUAUGUAAGAACAGGAGUCAGACUGUGGGAGCUAAGUUCCAUGGUCAAAAGGGAAAGAGCCCAGAUCGUCAAUUAAGGUCCCAAAGAUAUAGUUAAGUGGAAAACGAUGUGAUUUUGCGUAAACAACCAGGAUGUUGGCUUAGAAGCAGCCAUUCAUUUAAAGAGUGCGUAAUAGCUCACUGGUCGAGUGAAGUUGCGCGGAAAAUUACCGGGGCUAAACUAUACACCGAAAUUGCGGAUUCAUACGUAAGUAUGAGUGGUAGAGGAGCAUUCUGUUGUAGGACGAAGCAUGAUCGAAAGGACAUGUGGACGAAGCAGAAGAGAGAAUGCCGGAAUAAGUAGCGAAAGCAUGGUGAGAAUCCAUGCCAUCGAAAGUCUAAGGUUUCCUGGGGAAGGUUCGUCCGCCCAGGGUAAGUCGGGACCUAAGGUGAGGCCGAAAGGCGUAGCCGAUGGACAGCAGGUAGAAAUUCCUGCACCACCGAUAUACUUAAAAAGCACAAGGGACACAGGAGUGGAAGAGAAGCGAGGAAGAGGAAAAACUCGUAUCGAAAGAUAUAGUGAAAAUAAAGUAACGAAUUCUCAAGAAGCACACUGGCGAGAAAAGCUUGUGAGUAUUGUAUAUAGGUGCCCGUACCGCAAACCGACACAGGUAGAUGAGGAGAAGAUCCUAAGAUGAGCGAGAGAAGCAUUGUUAAGGAACUCGGCAAAUUGACCCCGUAACUUAGGGAGAAGGGGUACCGGUGUAACAGCCGGUCGCAGUGAAUCGGUCCAAGCAACUGUUUAACAAAAACACAGGUUUCUGCUAAAUCGAAAGAUGAAGUAUAGGAGCUGACGCCUGCCCAGUGCUGGAAGGUUAAGGGGAAGGGUUAUUCGAAAGAAGAAGCUUUGAACCAAAGCCCCAGUGAACGGCGGCCGUAACUAUAACGGUCCUAAGGUAGCGAAAUUCCUUGUCAGGUAAG
rnacentral:rRNA from 1 species